GAUGAACGCUGGCGGCGUGCCUAAUACAUGCAAGUCGAGCGAACAGACGAGGAGCUUGCUCCUCUGACGUUAGCGGCGGACGGGUGAGUAACACGUGGAUAACCUACCUAUAAGACUGGGAUAACUUCGGGAAACCGGAGCUAAUACCGGAUAAUAUAUUGAACCGCAUGGUUCAAUAGUGAAAGACGGUUUUGCUGUCACUUAUAGAUGGAUCCGCGCCGCAUUAGCUAGUUGGUAAGGUAACGGCUUACCAAGGCAACGAUGCGUAGCCGACCUGAGAGGGUGAUCGGCCACACUGGAACUGAGACACGGUCCAGACUCCUACGGGAGGCAGCAGUAGGGAAUCUUCCGCAAUGGGCGAAAGCUUGACGGAGCAACGCCGCGUGAGUGAUGAAGGUCUUCGGAUCGUAAAACUCGGUUAUGAGGGAAGAACAAAUGUGUAAGUAACUAUGCACGUCUUGACGGUACCUAAUCAGAAAGCCACGGCUAACUACGUG
rnacentral:rRNA from 1 species